GAUGAACGCUAGCGACAGGCCUAACACAUGCAAGUCGAGGGGCAGCACGAAUCAAGCUUGCUUGAUUUGGUGGCGACCGGCGCACGGGUGCGUAACAGGUGUGCAAUCUGUCCAUAAUCGGGGAAUAGCCCAGCGAAAGUUGGAUUAAUGCUCCAUGUGAGCCGAGAGGGCAUCCUUUUGGUUUGAAACGCGAGGGUAUAGGGUGAGCACGCUUCUGAUUAGCUAGUUGGUGAGGUAACGGCUCACCAAGGCGACGAUCAGUAGGGGUUCUGAGAGGAAGGUCCCCCACAUUGGAGCUGAGACACGGUCCAAACUCCUACGGGAGGCAGCAGUGAGGAAUAUUGGUCAAUGGGCGGGAGCCUGAACCAGCCAAGUCGCGUGAGGGAAGACGGCCCUACGGGUUGUAAACCUCUUUAGUCGGGGAGCAAAAAGGAUCACGCGUGGUCCAUUGAGCGUACCCGAAGAAUAAGCAUCGGCUAACUCCGUGCCAG
rnacentral:rRNA from 1 species